rnacentral:misc_RNA from 1 species
UGAAGCAUUCACUGCAGCUCAACAGCGAAUUGCUAGUUACUUAACGGAGAUGAAGUCCAGAGCUGAAGGGGAAGGGAAUGUACUGCUGGCCGAUGGGAAACCUGUGGUUGUGAAUGAGCAACAGGUUGAGAAGUUCCUGUUCACAACCCUGAAGCUGAAUUCGACGAUAUUGAGAUACUCGAGAAUGGCUGCAGUUGUGCUUGUGAGUCUGCCACCACCUCCAAUCAACCACCCAGCCUACUUUUACAUGGAA